GACGAACGCUGGCGGCGUGCCUAAUACAUGCAAGUAGAACGCUGAAGGAGGAGCUUGCUUCUCUGGAUGAGUUGCGAACGGGUGAGUAACGCGUAGGUAACCUGCCUGGUAGCGGGGGAUAACUAUUGGAAACGAUAGCUAAUACCGCAUAAGAGUAGAUGUCGCAUGACAUUUGCUUAAAAGGUGCAAUUGCAUCACUACCAGAUGGACCUGCGUUGUAUUAGCUAGUUGGUGAGGUAACGGCUCACCAAGGCAACGAUACAUAGCCGACUUGAGAGGGUGAUCGGCCACACUGGGACUGAGACACGGCCCAGACUCCUACGGGAGGCAGCAGUAGGGAAUCUUCGGCAAGGGACGGAAGUCUGACCGAGCAACGCCGCGUGAGUGAAGAAGGUUUUCGGAUCGUAAAGCUCUGUUGUAAGAGAAGAACGAGUGUGAGAGUGGAAAGUUCACACUGUGACGGUAUCUUACCAGAAAGGGACGGCUAACUACGUG
rnacentral:rRNA from 1 species